AUUGAACGCUGGCGGCAGGCCUAACACAUGCAAGUCGAACGAGUGGCGGACGGGUGAGGAAUGGCUGGGAAACUGCCUGAUGGCGGGGGAUAACGACUGGAAAAGGUAGCUAAUACCGCAUACCAUCAGAUGUGCCAAGAUGGGAGUAGCUUGGUGGUGGGGUAACGGCUAACCAAGGCGAAGAUCCCUAGCGGGUCUGAGAGGAUGACCAGCCACCAGAGAACUGAGACCCGGUCCAGACUCCUACGGGAGGCAGCAGUGGGGAAUAUUGCACAAUGGGCGCAAGCCUGAUGCAGCCAUGCCGCGUGUAUGAAGAAGGCCUUCGGGUUGUAAAGUACUUUCAGCGGGGAGGCGUUACCCGCAGAAGAAGCACCGGCUAACUCCGUGCCAGCAGCCGCGGUAAUAC
rnacentral:rRNA from 1 species